UACGUAGGGGGCAAGCGUUGUCCGGAAUCAUUGGGCGUAAAGAGCGUGUAGGCGGCCCGGUAAGUCCGCUGUGAAAGUCAAAGGCUCAACCUUUGAAUGUCAGCGGAUACUGCCGGGCUAGAGUCCGGAAGAGGCGAGUGGAAUUCCUGGUGUAGCGGUGGAAUGCGCAGAUAUCAGGAGGAACACCAAUGGCGAAGGCAGCUCGCUGGGACGUGACUGACGCUGAGACGCGAAAGCGUGGGGAGCAAACAGG
rnacentral:rRNA from 1 species